CUGCUUUCCACUCCGGUGAGUAUCGCUGGCUCGGUGAUGUUAGGCCCAGGGUUGAGGUGCACAUCCAUGGAGAGCAGGAGAGUAGUGAACAGGUAGUUUAGCACUUUAUGAUAGAUGUUGGACUUGUGUUUGUUACUCCUAAGCGAUUUAGUCAAUUAAAGAGCGAGGUAGACUUAGCCAUUAUUCAGAACAUUAUGUUAUAGUGUGUACUGUCCGCUCCCAUGUAACGGUGCAUGUACACUAGAUAGCGGUAAAUUGCAGCGUGCCGCUUAGGCCGCCCAUUGUGACUCGUUUGUGGGCGAGUUGGCAGUAUAUAGCAGCACGUUCAAUUGUACGUCAAGAAUUCAGCAUAGCAAUUUGUAUGAAGGUCUGGUUAUUAAAUGGGUACAUGGUUAAAUAGUAAUAUCCUCUAAAACACUCUGGUGACAAACAAACUUUGCUGCUCUAUUUCCAAUUGUCCACAUGGCUAAGAGAACCUAUUCAAGUAAGUAAAUACAUUUUGAAAAUGUAAAAAAAACAAUGCAUUAUUAGCUAACUAGCUACAGUGCAGGCUAACUCAAAUGAGCUGCAAAAUGAGCUAGCUAUCGAACCAACUUCACAUACUGUAUAGAUAGGUAGCUGGUGAUAUUUAAUUCACUUAGCUAGCUAACUUCAUAUUAGCUAGCUAUCUUGAUGUAUUUAUCACUGUAAAAAACAAACUUCAAAUGCAUUUGUAGGUAGCUAGCUAACAGCCAUGGAGGAGGGUGAACGGAUAGUAGCCCCAACUGCCAAAGUGAGAGAGUAGGCUAUUCUGUAUAGGGCAGGUACUUUUGUGUAGUUCCUGUCCCUAGAAGUGAGGACGGAGAUAAUAGUAACAUAAUAUUCAGUGCGGUGUAAUUUGACUAUAAUGAAGUCUAUUUCUUGUGAGGUUUUCUGUCCUCAGAUAAAGAGCGCUAUGAUAGCCUGUCUACAUAUGAAGAGGUCCCAAUGAAGAGCAGUGGUUCUCAGUCCUGGUCCUGGGGACUCAAAGGGAUACCUUUUAACUGGAGAUUCCUUCAAAACGAUUGCCUACAGUUAACGUGUAGAGCACUGCAAGGUUGGGUGACCAGAGCCAUCUGGGACUGCCUCCUAGAGGAAUGCAGGUGUGUGAAGGCUACCUGUGUCCUGCAUAACUUCAUGAGGAUGGACACGAGGACCAGGAGGGGAUCUGCAGCUUGCCACUGUGUGCCAGAGGAGAAGUCUGCUGCUCUGCAGGAUGUUUCAAGGAUGGGGUCCAACAAUGCAGCAAGAGAGGCAAUCCGUGUGCGGGAGAUCUUCACCUCCUACUUCUUCGAAGAAGGUGCUGUUCCCUGGCAACACCAUAGAUUUCACUAUGCACAACCAAAGGCUCUAUUCUUCCAUUUACUUAGCUAUGUCAACUGGAGUUAUUCAAUUCCCAGUUUCUCCCUUUGAUUUAUACUUCUCAGGUGAGGGUGCUGUUUAGGUAAGGGUGUGAUGUCUGUACAGAAACAAAACAGGCUAUUUUAACUUCUUAUGGCUGCAGGGGCAGUAUUGGGUAGCUUGGAUGAAAGGUGCACAGAGGUGCCCAUAGUAAACUGCCUGCUCCUUAGUCCCAGUUGCUAAUAUAUGCAUAUUAUUAUUCGUAUUGGAUAGAAAACACUCUGAAGUUUCUAAAACUGUUUGAAUUAUGUCUGUGAGUAUAACAUAACUUUUUUUUUUUUUUUCUGAGGUGGCAGAUUUUCAACCAAGCUCUCAUUGAAAUUACAGCGAGAUAUUGAUGAGUUUUCACUUCCUAUGGCUUCCACUAGAUGUCAACAGUCACUAGAACUUUGUCUGAUGACUCUAAUGUAAAGGGGGGCCGAAGGAGACAGGAAUGAGUAAUCACUGCCACGAGCUGACCAUGCUUUCACAUGCGCAUUCACGUGAGGAGGACCUCCGUUCCACUGCUCAUCUGAAGUCAAUCUAAUUCUCCGGUUGGAACGUUAUUCAAGAUGUAUGUUAACAACAUUCUAAAGAUUGAUUCAGUACAUCAUUUGACAUGUUUCUACUGACUGUUAUGGAACUUUUGGACAUUUCGUCACGUUAUAGUGGACGCGCUUUGUGACUUUUGAAUUGUUUACCAACGCAUUAGCCAAAGUAGCUAAUUGGACAUAAAUAACGGGCAUUAUCGAACAAAUCAAGCAUUUAUUGUGGACCUGGGAUUCCUAGGACUGCAUUCUGAUGAAGUUCAUCAAAGGUAAGGAAACAUUUAUCAUGUAUUUUCUGGUUUCUGUUGACCCCAACAUGGCGGCGAAUUUGGCUAUUGUUCUGAGCUCUGUCUCAGAUUAUUGCAUGAUUUGCUUUUUCCGUAAAGUUUUUUUGAAAUCUGACACAGCGGUUGCAUUAAGGAGAGGUAUAUCUAUAAUUCCAUGUGUAUAACUUGUAUUAUCAUCUACAUUUAUGAUGAGUAUUUCUGUUGAAACGAUGUGGCUAUGCAAAAUCACUUGAUGUUUUUGGAACUAGUGAAUGUAACGCGCCAUUGUAAACUCAGAUUUUCUGUUAUAAAUAUGAACUUUAUCAAACAAAGCAUGCAUGUAUUGUGUAACAUGAAGUCCUAUGAGUGUCAUCUGAUGAAGAUAAUCAAAGGUUAGUGAUUAAUUUUAUCUCUAUUUCUGCUUUUUCUGACUGCUAUCUUUGGCUGGAAAAAUGGCUGUGCUUAUUGUGGUUUAAUGUUGACCUAACUUAAAUCACCCAUAUUGAAAAAAUGUAGAACAAUUAGACACCCAACAACCCACACCUACACACUCAUGUAUCAAUCUGAUUGAUGGAUUGUGUUGUGCAGUAAGCAGGCUCAUGUGUAUAUCUGUGACUCUUUCCACCUUCAAAGAAUAGGUAAGAUGGCCAACCAUGGAGAAUAGUAAGACACUUCAUUAUUUCUAUAACUACGCUAUAUUGUUUGUCCUCGUGUAUCCGUUCAUGUUUUUCAGCAUAAAGUACUCUGCAGCCACUUAGUGUGGACACCAGGUGAGGCCACACACAGAGAUUCCUGUUGAACACUCUCUUUAACUACCUUAUUUUCUCAAAAACAGUCUCUCUCCUUCACUUCAUCUCUCUCUCCUCUUCUCGUUAAAUCCUCUAGGUUAUAUCAGCUGUGUCGGUGAACCCCUCCCGCAUCUCCACUGACUACAUAGAGGGCACAGCAUGAUCAGAGGUGUCAGGUCAACAGGAAGUAUUAUUAAAGAGAUGCUUUACAUUGAAAUGCAGAUAGUGAUGCAGUAGUCCCAGAGUUAAUGACCCAAGAUAUGUUUUGAUGUGAGAGAGGAUGCCAACCCCCAGGCCCAUCAUCGCCACUUCACCCGCUUUUAAGAUAACCUUCGGGCCGACUAGAGACACUAUUAUGUAAUUGUGAUGAACUGAGAGAAUAUUAGGGUAGCACUGUGAUUCAUUAAACAUAUGCUGCCUUCCCUGCUCCUAUGUCCUUACCUCUUUCCCUUUUUGUCUUUUACACCUCUCUCGCCACCUCUUUCUUCCUUUGUUUUUAUAAUGCACAUCAGAUGUGCAUAGAAGUACAGAUUGAACUUAUAAUAUUACAAUUAUAAUAUGUAUAAUGCAUGUAUUUAUAU